GGACAGGUGGCCGAGUGGUUAAUGGCAGCAGACUGUAAAUCUGCCGGCGAGAGCCUACGCUGGUUCGAAUCCAGCCCUGUCCACCA
rnacentral:tRNA from 1 species